rnacentral:tRNA from 1 species
GCCUGAGUUGGUUCAGUGGUUGAGCAUCUGCCUUCAGCUCAGGCCAUGAUCCCAGGGUUGUGGGAUCGAGUCCCGCAUCAGGCU